AGGCACGUAGCUCAGUGGGGCAGCACUGCCUUCACACGGCAGGGGUCGCAAGUUCGAACCUUGCCGCGCCCACCA
rnacentral:tRNA from 1 species